CAAGGUGCCUGGGGAGACGGGGCACCCCGGAGGCCUGGGAGCAAGGGUGGGCCAUGGGACCCCGGAAACCAGGGCAGAGCCCCAAGGGCUGAUGACUCCCCGCCCCCGCAGCGCAUCAAGGAGGGCAGUGUGAUCGACCACAUCCACCUCAUCAGCGUGGGCGACAUGAUCGAGGCCAUUAAUGGGCAGAGCCUGCUGGGCUGCCGGCACUACGAGGUGGCCCGGCUGCUCAAGGAGCUGCCCCGAGGCCGUACCUUCACGCUGAAGCUUACGGAGCCUCGCAAGGCUUUCGGUGAGGAGCCGCCCCCUGCCCCCUGGACCUCCCCAGUGGCGCUGCUCGCAUGGGCGCAGGCGGUGGUGCCGGGAGCGGCCAGCAGGUGGCGCCCAAGCCUGGCCUGCCGAAAGGGAAGGGGUUGCAGCUCCUCCCGGCCCCAAGACGGGGUGCUGGCCCUUGGCCCAGCCGGGGAGAAGGGCGGGGGCGGGGAGGAAGUUGCCCUCACACCUAGCUUCCAGGGGCCAUUAGCCUAGCCAAGCGCCCUCACCCCUGGCCAGCCCCCCAUCCCCAACAGGCCAGGCUUGACCGCUCAGUGCCAGCCCCCCCACUUUUCCAUCUGGCUUCACUAACUCUCAGGAAUGGGCCCCAGGCCCCUGAGGUGGGGGUGGGGGACUAAAUCACUUCCCCGGGCAGGUAGGGCUGGUCUGUGGCCCAGCAGCCAUAUCCCCUUGGCCAAGAGGAGACGGACUCAGGCUGGGGUACACCUGCUUCCUGUCCCCCAGCCCCUGGAAGCAGAAGUGGCCCCUCCAGUCUCCCCUCCAGCAUUUCCUAUUCCUGGCCCCCAGCUGUCCCCCCUGCUCUGCCCGACAUCCAUGCCAGGCCUGAGUCAGGAUUCCUGCCCUCCUGGGAUCACCCCGGCCCCAGCCCCCAGAAACUUGCAGAAGCUUGGAGAAGUUUGGGGUGGUGGUGAAAGCCAGGAAGGACAAGUUCCUGCCCAGAGUGUGCUAAAACCAAGCUUCCCCCACACUCACUCCUCUCCUGCCUCCCACAGACAUGAUCAGCCAGCGCUCAGCAGGUGGCCGCCCUGGCUCCGGCCCACAACUGGGCACUGGCCGAGGGACCCUGCGGCUCCGAUCCCGGGGCCCCGCCACGGUGGAGGAUCUGCCCUCUGCCUUUGAAGAGAAGGCCAUUGAGAAGGUGGAUGACUUGCUGGAGAGUUACAUGGGUAUCAGGGACACGGAGCUGGCGGCCACCAUGGUGGAGCUGGGAAAGGACAAAAGGAACCCGGAUGAGCUGGCCGAGGCCCUGGACGAACGGCUGGGUGACUUUGCCUUCCCUGAUGAGUUCGUCUUUGACGUCUGGGGUGCCAUUGGGGACGCCAAGGUCGGCCGCUACUAGGACUCCCCCCGGACCCUGCGAUGAUGACCCGGGCCCAACCUGGUGGCGGCCCCAGCAGGGACACUGACGUCAGGACCCGAACCUCCAGCCUGAGCCUAGCUCAGCAGCCCAAGGACGAUGGUGAGGGGAGGUGGGGCCGGGCCCCCUGCCCUGCUCCAAUCGGUACCAUCCCCUCCCUGGUUCCCAGUCUGGCCGGGGUCCCCGGCCCCCCUGUGCCCUGUUCCCCACCUAUCUCAGCCGGGUCAGGCACGGGGAGGGGAGGGAUCGGCCAGAUUGGGCGGCCACCCCCGCCUCCGCCAGUUUCCACCAUCAGCUGCCAAACUGGUCCCUCUGUCUCCCUGGGGCCUUGGGUUCUGUUUGGGGGUCAUGACCUUCCUAGUUUCCUGACGCAGGGAAUACAGGGGAGAGGGUUGUCCCUCCCCCCAGCAAAUGCAAUAAUGCCCUCGCCCCUCCUAAGAGGAGCCCCCUCCCCGUGGAGCCUGUUACCUCCACAUUUGACAUGAGUCUGCUGUGAACACCCCAACCUCCUCCCCACCUCCCAUCUCUCCCUCCAGGCCCAUCCCUGGCCCAGAGCAGGAGGGAGGGAGGGAUGAUGGCGGUGGGCUUUUGUAUCUGAAUUUGCUGUCUUGAACAUAAAGAAUCUAUCUGCUG
rnacentral:sRNA from 1 species